ensembl:lncRNA
UUAAGCACAUGAAGCCCUGAAGUUGCACACCCCGGUACAUUUGGUUGCGAUAAAAAAAAACAACACCGACAACCAGAGAGCGCGCGCGAGAGAGAGACAGACACUUUGGUCUAUGUGGCUCUCCGUAGUGCGUAACGCGCUAGGCACUUCCUCUUUGGGCUAGAGUUGUCGUAUAUGAUCAUAGCUGCGUUCAGAAAAUAGCAGCCAUGUUUGCUAAUUUGAAUCCUAAAGAAAGCCUGUUUAUUAUUAACAUCACUUGUAUCAUCUUCUCAUAGAUUGUAAACCCGGGACCCAAAGGCAGUGUUGCCUAUUUAAUCGUAGGAAUACGAGAUAACAGCUUUGAGUCUUCUUCUAUAAUGCCUGAUGAAGUUGGAGAAUACAUUACAUGGGAUCUGAGACCAUUCCUCCAGACAGAAUCUCUCCUGGGAUGGCCAUGUUUUGGAUGGCCAGGACCAUGAUUUUGUGGUCAGUAAACUAAUUUUGUGUUUGUUUUGAUGUAUGUUUUGGAUCAUUGUCCUGCUGGAAGAUCCAACCACAGACCAUUUUAAGCUUUCUGGUAGAGGCAGUCAGGUAUUCAUUUAAUAUCUGUUGAUAUUUGCUAGAGUCCAUGAUGCCAUGUAUCCAAACAAAAUGUCCAGGUUCUCUGACAGAAAAACGUCCACCAUAUUUAAUCAUGGGCAUGAGGUACUUUUCCAUAUGGCUACCUCUCAAAACCACCUCUGGUUUUUAUUGCCAAAAAGCUCUAUUUUGUUUUCAUCUGACCAUAGAGCCUGAUCCCGUUUGAAGUUCCAGUAGUGUCUAGCAAUCUGAAGAGGCUUGAGUUUGUUUUUGGAUGAGAGUAGAGGCUUUUUUUUGAAACCCUUCCAAACAACUUGUGGUGAUGGUGACUUCGGAUUGUAUUUUUGGAGACUUUCUGACCAAGAUACAACUAACUUCUGCAGUUCUCCAGCUGUGAUCCUUGGAGAUUUUUUGGCCACUCGAACUACCUUGUUCACAGUGUGUUGAGACAAUAUAGACACGUGUCCUCUUUCAGGUUGAUUCAUAAAAUUUCCAGUUGCCCUGAUGGUGGAAAUGGGCAUUUUCAAUGCUUUUGCUAUAUUCUUAUUGCCACUUCCCAUUUUGUGAAGCUCAACAACCUUUUGCCGGACAUCACAGCUAUAUUCCUUGGUCUUAUCCAUUGUGAUGAAUGACUAAGGGAAUUUGGCCUAUGUAUUACCUCAUAUUUAUAGCCCUGUGAAACAUGAAGUCAUGAUCGAACAAUUUCCUGUUCCUAGUCAUCCAGGUGUACAAAAAAAUGUAAAAUAUCAAUGGGAAUAUACUUCAAAUGUAUUUUUCUUAUAUAAAUUUAAAGUAGUGCAGAUAAUUGUGCCACACAUGUUUAACAAAGGUUUUUUGUUGUUUUUGGGAUAAACCUGUUUGUAGAGCUGCAACAACUAAUCGAUAAUAAUCGAUUUUGACAAUCGUUGUCAACGAAUCUCAUUAUCGAUUAGUUUGUCUGCGUGUGGCACUAGGUACGUUUACUCACUACGUUAUUUCUGUUCCGAAAACACGCUUAGUAAAUACUAAAAUUGUGUCCCAAGUAACGUACUAUACACUUACAUUAUGCACUGUGUAUUACACUUACAUUAUGCACUCUACCAUCUAGUGUAUGAAUUUUAGAAGGGUAGUAUCAUCUCAUAUGGAACACGAGCGUUUUUUACUAAACGGAAGUAUACACGGCUUCCUAGUUGAUGGCACAUGACAUCAUACUCAUGUUUAUAUCCAAAAUGCUCCACUGUGUGUGAGGGGUUGGGGAAACUAAUGCGAGUUGCUUAAAAGGCUUAGUUUAAGUUUGUCAUUAUAUGCUGUAUUUGUGCGCUUGCAGUGUAAAUUCUGUUGUUUAAUAUAACGGAAGUGAUGUGUUAGUAACAAGGCCGCGUUGCUCCUCACAUGCGAUGCAGACUCGGUGAUGCACAGUGGGAGCUUAAAUAAGAUCUGCAAUAUCUAAUUAAAACACUAUGAUCAAAAGUAAACACAAGUAAAAUAAUAUUCCUAAAGGCAGUGAGUAACAGAAACCACAAGGUGCAGUGAAAGUGAGUUUUUAUUAUUAAUUUAGGACUGUAGUUUUUUUUAGACAGUGAUUUUUGUGCAUCCAUAAAAAAAUGCAUAAAUACUUAUAUAUAAUAUAAACUAUUUUUAUGGAUAUACAAAAAUCACUGAAUUAAACUGUAGUCCAUAAAUUAAUAAUAUAUAUUCUGGUGUGUGUCUGUGUUUAUUGGCUUCUUUUCAGUUGUGUAAAGUUUUAGUCUGAAGUUUUAUUGGUGACACUCAGUUUGUGGAUUUUAUUUUAAAUAAAUGAAAAAAUGGUACUGAACUUUUGCCUCCCCCCAACCGAUUAAUCGGCCAACUAAUCGAUUAUGAAAAUAAUUGUUAGUUGCAGCCCUAGUUGUUUGCAAUUGUUUGAUAUCUAUGAGAGCAGAGUAUGUUUGUGAAUUUUUUUUAGCAAAAUAUCAAAAGGUUAAACAAUAAAGACAAUUUUUGACAGCCAAGGGUGUCGGUAUUAGUCGAGGUUACUAUAUUUCUCUGCACUUUAGAAACACAUUACAUAUAAACGUAUAAAAGAUUGUUGCUAUUCAUAUUACUGAAAUAUUACUGGUGAGAGUUCCAUGCAAAAAAAACACAGCCUCGCUAACUUACUGAUUUUGACAACAGUUUUGAUGUGCAGUCAGUUUGAAAAAGAAUCCCAUCCAAAAGUAUUGGAACGGCAAGGACAAUUCUUUGUUUUGCUGUAAAUUAAAGACAUUUGGGUUUGAGAUCAAAAGAUGAAUAUGAGAUGAUGGAUGAGAAUUUCAGCUUUUGUUUCCUGAUAUUUACAUCUAGAUAUGUUAUUGAACAUGGCACCUUUUAUUUGAACCCAUCCAUUUUUCAAAUUAUCAUAAAUAUUGGAACAAAGGGCUCCCGAGUGGCACAACUGGCGAAACCGUUCACACUAUUAUCCAUAGAUUGCGCUUUAGAAUCUGUAUGAUGCCACAGCCAUCAUAUGCAUGUGGCUGGUAGUCAAAGAGUGCAAAAUUGGCUGUGCUGUCAGGGAGAGAGGGGUGGCAUACUAUUUGUCUCCUAUCAAUCACAGUGACACUAGCCAAUCAUGGGUGUCAUGAGCUCGUUCGUGCGGAAGUAAGCGCAUAGCACUUUCCUCUGAUCGUGUUACGCCUCCCCUGAUGCUGCAUGAACAGCAGUUCAAAAAGAUACGGUCGGCUGGCUUCACGUACCUCCCUGGUUGGUAGUUGUUGUGUCUUGGGGAGAGUCGCCUGAUGGGUGGGAAUUUACCAUGACUAAAUUAGCAAGAAAAUUGGUGGAAAAAUGUGACUGACAGGUGUUGCCCAGGUGUUUCCUGUUAGAUUGAUUGAUUAAACAAUUAAUAGGUCUGAAUUUCUACUACAGCUUGCCAUUUUGAGGCUGAGUAGGAAGAUUGCCAUUGCACAUGCAUUGGGCAUAGCAAAUACAGCAAUGUCAAAUCUCAUGACAAAGAAAGAAACCACUGGUUUACUAACAACAGCAGUUGAUGACAGUUUUUGUCAGUUUCUGUCAUCAACUCUUGUGAGAGCUGUGAGGACAUAAACAACAACCUCCACAGGGUGGAAGGUUUUAGACUAGCCAUGACAAUCACCAGUUCUUAACACAAUUGACAAUGCAUUUCACGAAGAGAAGACUGAAGGGAGAACCUUCCCUAAACAAACAACAACUGAGAGGAGAUGCGGAACAAGCCUGGAAAAGCAUCACAAAAAAAGAAUGCAAGAGUUUGGUGAUGUCAGUUGGUUGCUGAUUGAUGCAGUUAUUGCAAGCAAGGGAUAUGCAGCCAAAUAUUAAGUGUCAUUUAUGUUAAUUUACUUUAAGAAUAUCUGUUUCAGUACUUUUGCUCACCUAAAAAUUGGGUGAUCUGCUACCAAAUUUGCCAUGUUCCAAAAUGAAAGCCGAAAAUUUAAUCUAUCUUCUCAUAUUCAUCUUUUGAGCUCAAACCCAAAUGUCUUUGGUGUUGUCUGAUCAAAUAUAUUGCCUGUUAUUUUUGGAG